UACCACCGAGGACCCCCCGUAAAGUGUUGCCUUACCACACCUCGCCUCCCACGAUCUGUUUCUCCACGACCAGCACCGCCGCUUCCCUGAUCCACUUCGACUCCGGCACCGGUGCUGGCGCCUUCGCAAUCCCCUUCGAGGCCCUCUCCGUCUCCCCUCGAUCCUCUCCUCCUCGUCCAGCUACGCCGACGCCUGGUAGCCAUCGCCGCCGCCCUUGGUCGCCGCCCGAGCUCGCCAUCGCUGCCACCAUUGGUCGCUGCCCCUAGCUCGCCCUUGUCGCCGGACUGUCCGCUGCAAGAUAUGUUUAAAAAGAAAAGGAAAGAUCAACAUUGGGUAAGAUCCGAUAUUGAGGGAACAAUUGUGGAUGCUACUUCUAAUGCUUUGAUCGAUGAAGAAUAGUGGAGGGAAAUCAUAUAAAGAUCGUUGGCUGAGCUUACACCCUUCAAAAACUCGAAAGAAUGAGGAUUUAACAAGAGCAGCAGAUCAUCGUCAUCAUCCAGCGUGUGUGCGUGAAGUUAUUUUUUACACGAGUGCUAGACUCGGACAAUAAGCCGCUCUGGUGGCGACGACAACAGCAGCAGACAGCAAAAAUGUACAUACAUAUUCGUAGCAUGUUCACAGCAGGUCCUCAUCAUAUUUGAGAUUCUGUUACUCUUUACAUACAAACAGUUUUGUAUAAACGUCCAUGGUUUUUCUUGAUAUAUAUUUAUAAUAUCAAUGAGCGAGUUAUCAAGAUCCAA